AUGCCUGACCCAGGCCUGUGGGUUGCAGGUGUGUGCAGCAGAGAACCCCAGGUUCCUCUGGUGCUCUCUAGCCUGCACGUCAGUCUGGAUGGGUCACAAAUCAGCAAAUACAAGUGGCCGUACUCCAAAGGCUCUACUGUUCUCUCUUGUGAAGAGAUAUUGUUCUUCCUGUCCCUACCUGAGCACUAUUUUUGUAUUAUGAGAAUGCUCAUGUUGCUAUUUCAGCUCUGGCUCAUCUUCCAUGUAUUGAGGCCACCUGACACAGGACUUCUGCUUUGGGAAUGUUACCUUGACGGCUUCAAGAAGAGCAACUAUACUGAGCCAAUGCCAAAAUAUAGAUGAUACGGAGAUAUCAGAAGUUGUGUUCCUGAGUUUUUUUUCUGAAAAGAAGAGAACAGUAAAAAUUGUUCAAAGUCUCAUUGACUGUUCUUAUUCCUGGCACAUGUAAUUGAGGAGCCAACAAGGAAAGGAUCUGUCCUGGACCUGAUACUUACAAACAAGGAAGAAUUGGUUGGCGUGUGAAAGUCAGAGACAGCCUUGAUUGCAGUGCUGAUGCUCAAGAUCCUAAAAGGAGGGAGCAGUGCAAAAGGUAGGUCUGCAAUCCUGGCAUUUUGGAGAGGAGACUUUGGUCUCUUCAGAGACCUGAUUGAGAAUGCCAUGGGAUAGAGCCUGAGCGAGAAGAGGGGUUCAGGAGAGCUGGUUGAUAUUCAAGGAUCACUCCCUCCAAACUUAAGAAAGAGUCAUACGGAGAAGUAGGAAAUAAAGACAGUGUGUGGGCUGCGUGGGUGAGC
rnacentral:lncRNA from 1 species